UUGCUUGGCGCAUGCCUUAACAUGCAGUCGAACGGCAGCACGGGUGCUUGCACCUGGUGGCGAGUGGCGAACGGGUGAGUAAUACAUCGGAACAUGUCCUGUAGUGGGGGAUAGCCCGGCGAAAGCCGGAUUAAUACCGCAUACGAUCUACGGAUGAAAGCGGGGGACCUUCGGGCCUCGCGCUAUAGGGUUGGCCGAUGGCUGAUUAGCUAGUUGGUGGGGUAAAGGCCCACCAAGGCGACGAUCAGUAGCUGGUCUGAGAGGACGACCAGCCACACUGGGACUGAGACACGGCCCAGACUCCUACGGGAGGCAGCAGUGGGGAAUUUUGGACAAUGGGCGAAAGCCUGAUCCAGCAAUGCCGCGUGUGUGAAGAAGGCCUUCGGGUUGUAAAGCACUUUUGUCCGGAAAGAAAUCCUGAGGGCUAAUAUCCUUCGGGGAUGACGGUACCGGAAGAAUAAGCACCGGCUAACUACGUGCCAGCAGCCGCGGUAAUACGUAGGGUGCGAGCGUUAAUCGGAAUUACUGGGCGUAAAGCGUGCGCAGGCGGUUUGUUAAGACCGAUGUGAAAUCCCCGGGCUCAACCUGGGAACUGCAUUGGUGACUGGCAAGCUAGAGUAUGGCAGAGGGGGGUAGAAUUCCACGUGUAGCAGUGAAAUGCGUAGAGAUGUGGAGGAAUACCGAUGGCGAAGGCAGCCCCCUGGGCCAAUACUGACGCUCAUGCACGAAAGCGUGGGGAGCAAACAGGAUUAGAUACCCUGGUAGUCCACGCCCUAAACGAUGUCAACUAGUUGUUGGGGAUUCAUUUCCUUAGUAACGUAGCUAACGCGUGAAGUUGACCGCCUGGGGAGUACGGUCGCAAGAUUAAAACUCAAAGGAAUUGACGGGGACCCGCACAAGCGGUGGAUGAUGUGGAUUAAUUCGAUGCAACGCGAAGAACCUUACCUACCCUUGACAUGGUCGGAACCUUGGAGAGAUCUGAGGGUGCUCGAAAGAGAACCGAUACACAGGUGCUGCAUGGCUGUCGUCACCUCCUGUCCUGAGAUGUUUGGGUUAAUCCCCCACCCAGCGCCACCCUGUUCCUUAUUGUUCUCCGAAACCCCUUUGGGAAAUGCGCUGACAACCCCAGAAAAGUGGGGAAAAAGUCAGGCCCCCCCGGCGCCCUUUGGGGGGGGUUCCCCCCUCCUACAAAGGGUGGAGAGAAGGGGGCGCGCCGCCGCGGGGGGAGGAAAUCCCCAGAAACAAAACAAAUUCCAAAUGGUUUUGCGCGGGGGGGGGGGUAGGUGG
rnacentral:rRNA from 1 species